UGAGAACAGGCUUCUCUCCAAGAGCGUGGGACGUGGGCAGGGGCCGAGGCAGGCCACGUGAUGGCCACGCUUUGCGGAUGCAGGUGCUCCUGAAUCCAAAGGCCCCGGGCAGGGUGGCGGGGCCUGAGAGACCAGGGCGAGGGGCCGGGGUGCCGCACGAAGGGGCUGGAGCUGAGUCCCUCCCUGGCCCCUGAGCCUCUCAGCCCUCCGGCCGGGGAGGCCCCCACACCACCCACACAGCCCGGGCUCUGGCUCAGUGCCGCGGUGGGACUCCCGUGGUGCUGCCCUCUCCCUGGGAAGCCUCCGGUAGGGGUCUGCUACCACCGGGCCGUCCUCUCCGUCUUCCUGGACCCCCCUCCGGGACGGACGCCGGCUCAUCUGUGGAUGCAGAGCCCAGCUGUGUCCGGGGAGAUUUUGCCAAACGCUUGCGCGGCUUCUAGAGCCAUCGGAGAUGACCGUUCCGGAAGCUUCUGAAGCAGCAGAUUCUUCGAGAGAAUGGAAGGACACCGUCCCCCAACUGUCGUGCCCCCCUGUCGUGACAGGGAGCGCCCCCAUCACACGUGUGUCCCCGGGCCCCUUGGCACUACACCAGAUCAGAGGGGCGAAGGGGCAGAGGCUCCUGACAGCAGUGAGAUAUUUUCACGGGCCGCUUUCCAGAGGAAAAAGACGCUUCGGAGAAGCAGCAGAACCCUGUUAACGUCUCUGCUUUAAGAAAAAUAAGGAAGAAGUCAGGAGCCGCAUCGCCUUCCGUCAAGACACCUGCAGGACCCGAUUUAAUUUCUGCUGCCGUGGACGACGGAGCCAGGAAUUCUCACCUCACGGGAGGACUUUCGAAGGAGGAGGUGCUAAGUACAUCACGUCCAAAAUUAACACGGCCUUCCAAUCUACGCACCAAUUCAAAACCCGAUUUAACAGCCUGCUCUUACCGAAGUCAAUUGGCGAGCAUUCCAUUAUAAACACAGAUGAAAUCCCCCCCCAUCUACCAGAUAAAUAAUUUUCUCCCCACACCUAAGCGGCACGCAUUAACUUAACGGGUAAUGAUCUAAAUUAUGUAUUAAACUCAAUUACUUUUU